rnacentral:rRNA from 1 species
ACGAACGCUGGCGGCGUGCUUAACACAUGCAAGUCGAGCGGUAAGGCCCUUUCGGGGGUACACGAGCGGCGAACGGGUGAGUAACACGUGGGUGACCUGCCCUCAGCUCUGGGAUAAGCCUGGGAAACCGGGUCUAAUACUGGAUAUGACUCCAUGACGCAUGUUGUGGGGUGGAAAGCCUUGUGCGGCUGAGGAUGGGCCCGCGGCCUAUCAGCUUGUUGGUGGGGUGANGGCCUACCAAGGCGACGACGGGUAGCCGGCCUGAGAGGGCGACCGGCCACACUGGGACUGAGACACGGCCCAGACUCCUACGGGAGGCAGCAGUGGGGAAGUCUUGCGCAAUGGGCGAAAGCCUGACGCAGCGACGCCGCGUGAGGGAUGA